rnacentral:tRNA from 1 species
AGGGGUAUGGUGAAGUGGUAUCAUUACGGUCUCCAAAACCGUCGGUCUGGGUUCGAUUCCCAGUACCCCUGC